rnacentral:tRNA from 1 species
GCGCUCGUAGCUUAAUUUGGUAGAGCACUAUUUUCCGAAGAUAGAAGGUUCAGGUUCAAUUCCUGUCGAGCGUU